CUUACCUGUUGCAUCUUGUCCUGUGACUGUGCAGAUCUAAGAAAGAGUCUGGCUGCAUAUUCUGAAUAUACUCUGAUGAACUGGUUGUUGAAAGCAAAAUCCUUGAAGGAUACUGCCUGCUAGCUGGAAUUUGCACUACAGGUGACAACUCUUUGAGCCUGGGAGACCAGCUUUCUACCCACCUUUAUCCAGACCAUAUCAUCAGCUGUGUUAUAAGGACACUACAAGGGCUUCAGCUGUAUCAGCUGUCAAAAAUUUGCUAAAAUCAAGGUAUAAAGGAUCCACUUCCCUCCAUUGUUCUUGCCAUCAGACCACCAGUGUCACAGAAAACAACAAGGCUUUGUGUUUCUUCCCCUUGUUUUCAGAAGCCAUUCUCUGUCAUCAGGGCUUGGAUAAA